rnacentral:rRNA from 1 species
UACAGAGGUCCCAAGCGCUGUUCGGAUUCACUGGGCGUAAAGGGUGCGUAGGCGGUCGGGUAAGUCUGAUGUGAAAUCUCACAGCUUAACUGUGAAACUGCAUUGGAUACUAUCCGGCUCGAGGAAUGGAGGGGAGACUGGAAUACUUGGUGUAGCAGUGAAAUGCGUAGAUAUCAAGUGGAACACCAGUGGCGAAGGCGAGUCUCUGGACAUUUCCUGACGCUGAGGCACGAAAGCCAGGGGAGCAAACAGG